rnacentral:tRNA from 1 species
GAGGGUAUAGCUCAGUGGAAGAGUGAGUGUUUAGCUUGCACGAGGUCCUGGGUUCAAUCCCCAGUAGCUCCA